GGGAACGUCUAUCAGGAUAAUGGAUCGUUCAGGAAUAUCAAGAAACAAUCUGGGUAUUGCUGGGCGAGAGACUAUCAUCGACAGUUUGCCAUUCUCUCAAGUAAUGAAAGCAAGAAAUGUUUUUGAAAUGAAUAUUUUUCAAUGAAAUUUUUCGCAAUUUAAAUUAAAACACAUAUAUACAUUUUAUACAGUAUUUAAGAUACACUCACACACAAAUAAAAAUAUGUACAUAGUAUAUAGGUAGGUAUAUGUACAUAUAGUGAGAUUGUUUUUGAUGUUUUGUUUUUAGCUAUUCUUCGUUCUAUUGCGCGUAUAUAUUAUAGUACAAAGUAUACAUAUGUAUAUAUGUACCCAUUGUAGGUGUUUUUAAAUACAAAUACAAACGCUAUUUUUUUUUGGCAAGACUUAGUGCAUCAUUGACAUUGGCUUCGUAUUUGGUUUUGACAUCUGGCCAUUUGGAUAAAGGCUUUCUAUUUCGGUCUAUGACUCUAGGCCUUGUUAGGGAGCACUUUACAGACUCUAAUCCUUUUAUACCUAUAUAAAUAUAUUAUAUGCAAUUGUUCAGAAAAUUGUUUUGAAAAAAGCUAAAAUCUACAAGCAUGUUUUUAAUAACUUCAAUAAAAAUUAAAUAUCCAAGAAAAUAUGGCAAAACAAUUACUAGACAAACUGUAUAAUUACAUCAAUAACGCACUUGAUUUCCGUUGUUUGCUAUUGUUGCAAGGUCGUUCCAAGGCAAAUUAUUUCUGCAACUUUUUGUUUCUUGUUGUUGAUUGUUGAUUAAAGUUUAAUCGAUGUGUUCUGUGUGUGGUUGUCACAACAAAGUUUAUUUUAGCCUGUCAUCGCUUGUCACAAGACUAAUUUAUGAGAUAAUCACAAUCGCACCAAUACUGGAAUAAUAAAUAAGCCUCACAACGUUUUCAGAGCGAGCAAUUUAGAUAUUCUCAUAACUGACUCAGGGUUGUACAGCUCACACAGAUACACAAUUACACUCACACAGAUACUCACAUACAUGGCAAAUUAUUCUAAUCAAGCAAUUAACUUAUUAUUUUCGAGUCAAUUAUACAACGAAAACAAACAAUUUGAUGUGUAAAAGCAUUUCAUCAUUAACUUGACUCGCGUGCCAAAGACUUAUAAACUGAAUACGAUUCCAAACAAGCUUAACAAAUUGUCAGAAACUUAUGAAAUUACAUACAUGGAGUGGAAAA